rfam:Pediculus humanus corporis strain TSDA 1103172094920, whole genome shotgun sequence.
AAAACGGCCCUUUUCAGGGCCAAAAUAUUUUACGCGUUUAACGUGU